CCUACGGGAGGCAGCAGUGAGGAAUAUUGGUCAAUGGGCGUAAGCCUGAACCAGCCAAGUAGCGUGAGGGAAGACUGCCCUAUGGGUUGUAAACCUCUUUUAUGCGGGGAUAAAGGUGUCCACGUGUGGCUGUUUGCAGGUACCGCAUGAAUAAGGAUCGGCUAAAUCCGUGCCAGCAGCCGCGGUAAUACGGAAGGUUCGGGCGUUAUCCGGAUUUAUUGGGUUUAAAGGGAGCGUAGGUCGGGGUUUAAGUAUGGCGGGAAAGUUUGUGGCUCAACCUUGAGAGUGCGGCGCAGACUGGUGGCCUUGAGUGCGCGAGAGGCAGGCGGAAUGCGUGGUGUAGCGGUGAAAUGCUUAGAUAUCACGAAGAACUCCGAUUGCGAAGGCAGCAUGCCGAAGCGUGACUGACGCUGAUGCUCGAAAGUGCGGGUAUCGAACAGGAUUAGAUACCCUUGUAGUC
rnacentral:rRNA from 1 species